GUAAAAGCGCUUCCAGAACAAUGGCGGAGACUAAAAGUAGUCAAUCUUGUAGCAUACCUUUGUGUUUCAACUCAAAGAAGAAACAACCGUACUUAUCGUUUCAUAGCUUUCCCAAUGAUGAAAAUAUGAAAAAGCAUUGGAUUUGUGCUAUACGAAGAGAUGAGGGGGCGGCAUUUACAUUGAGGAAGGGCAGCACUUUUGUGUGUGCUAUGCACUUCACGGAGGAUGAAGUCCGCGUCCAUCCACAGUCCGGGCGUAAAUAUCUUACACCGCAGGCUGUGCCUUCCAGGUUUUCGUGGAACAACUGGUGAGACGUUAAAUCACGCCAGACACGGACGGCAAAAAGAGGUGUCUGUGGUGAGCAGGAGGAAGCAAAUGUUGAAAUGGAGAGUGUUGAUGCGGUGUUGCCGGUGCAGGAGCACGAUUACAACAGCCGCCCUCUUCCGGGUGCUCUUGAUGAGGCAUUGGAAAAAAUAAAGGAGCUGGAGGAACUGGUGUCAAGCCUUACCAUCUCUCGAGCUUUGCUGGAUAGAUGGUGUGUGUCUGAUGAAGACUUCAGGUAUUUCACGAGGUUCUCAAACAAAAACAUCCACCACCACCUCCUGCUCACCAGCCAGUAACAUCGGCCACCACCACCUCCUGCUCACCAUCACUUCACCAGCCAGUAACAUUUUUCUUUGCCUUGCCACUCAACAAAGAGCAGUGUAAAAAAAUUUAUUGCAAGAGUCUUCAGUCAACCUCAUUCCUUUGCUAGAAGCAGAGAAAAGCUUGUCCUAACCUAGCCUACUUUGUGACACUGUGGUCUAUCUUGUCCAUCUUUCAGAUUUUUAGCACAUUGACCUUGACUGUCAUUGACUCAUCUUUCCAGUUUGGGAAAAUGAAGUCACCCCUAGUAUUUGUCACCAGAUCACACCAAGAUAAGCCAGUGACCAUCAGCUGACCCUGGACUUGCCAGUGGGCACUUAACUUCUACCAGGCCAUAGGGAGGGUCUUCAUUUGGGUCUACCACCUUGCCAUCUGGACUAGCACCAAGGUGUGGAG